rnacentral:rRNA from 1 species
UGCCAGCCUCCGCUGUACUCCUAAUGUGGCUAUCGUUGUUCGGAAUUACUGGGCGUAAAGCGCACGUAGGCGGAUAUUUAAGUCAGGGGUGAAAUCCCGGGGCUCAACCCCGGAACUGCCUUUGAUACUGGGUAUCUUGAGUUCGGAAGAGGUAAGUGGAAUUGCGAGUGUAGAGGUGAAAUUCGUAGAUAUUCGCAGGAACACCAGUGGCGAAGGCGGCUUACUGGUCCGAUACUGACGCUGAGGUGCGAAAGCGUGGGGAGCAAACAGGAUUAGAUA